UCAAACCAGACAAAAACACCAACAUGGAAGGAGGAGUUUGAGGUUGCAGUCUACUAUGGUGAAGUCAAGGCAGCAAGGACUUGAUGUAUGACAUCUCAUCCACUCACAAUCAGAAAGUAGAGGACCCUGGUACAGCUGUCUCGUGAAAGGCUCUGCCGGCACCUGACCAAUACAGAUGCAGAUACUCACAGCCAACCAUUGAACUGAGCUUGAGGACCACAAUGGAAGAUUUACAGGGAGGACUGAAGAUGCAGAAGUGGAUUGCAACCCCAUAGGAAGAACAACGAUAUCAGCUAACUGGACAACCCAGAGCUCCCAGAGACUAAACCACCAACCAAACAAUACACAUGGAGGGACCCGUGGCUCCAGCUGCAUAUGUAGCAGAGGAUGGGCUUAUCUGACAUCACUGGGAGGGAAGCCCCUUGGUCCUCUGGAGGCUCGAUGUCCCAGCAUAAGGGGAUACUAGAGCAGUGAGGCAGG
ensembl:lncRNA